GACGAACGCUGGCGGCGUGCUUAACACAUGCAAGUCGAACGGAAAGGCCCUGCUUUUGUGGGGUGCUCGAGUGGCGAACGGGUGUGUAACACGUGAGUAUCCUGCCCUUGACUUUGGGAUAACUUCAGGAAACUGGGGCUAAUACCGGAUAGGAGCUCCUGCUGCAUGGUGGGGGUUGGAAAGUUUCGGCGGUUGGGGAUGGACUGGGGGGUUAUCAGCUUGUUGGUGGGGUAGUGGCUUACCAAGGCUUCGAUGGGUAGCCGGCCUUAGAGGGUGACCAGGGACAAUGGGACUGAGGGACGGCGCAGAGGGGAACGGGGGGCAAUGGUGGAGAAUAUGACACAAUGGGCGGGAGUGUGAUGCGACAGCGUCGCGUUCGUGAUGACGGCCUUCGGGGUGUGAACCGCUUUCACCUGUGACGGAGCGUGAGUGACGUUAAUAAGUAAAGAAGCACCGGCUAACUACGUG
rnacentral:rRNA from 1 species